rnacentral:rRNA from 1 species
UAAGGAAUAUUGGACAAUGGGGGCAACCCUGAUCCAGCCAUGCCGCGUGAAGGAUGAAGGCGCUAUGCGUUGUAAACUUCUUUUGAACGGGAGAAAACCCACUUACGUGUAAGUGGCUGAUAGUACCGUUAGAAUAAGGAUCGGCUAACUCCGUGCCAGCAGCCGCGGUAAUACGGAGGAUCCAAGCGUUAUCCGGAUUCAUUGGGUUUAAAGGGUGCGUAGGCGGACUGAUAAGUCAGCGGUGAAAUCUCUCGGCUUAACCGAGAAACUGCCGUUGAUACUGUCAGUCUUGAGUACAGAUGAUGUGGGCGGAAUAUGACAUGUAGUGGUGAAAUACUUAGAUAUGUCAUAGAACACCGAUUGCGAAGGCAGCUCACAAAACUGUCACUGACGCUGAGGCACGAAAGCGUGGGGAUCAAACAG